AUGACCUUGGUGAAGGCAGUCCUUACGGCGGUGGCCAUUUAUCACAUCACGCCGCUCGACAUCCCGGUGGAGGUUCUAAAAGCGAUUGACAAGUUGCGGCGUGCCUACCUCUGGGCAGGAUCUGACACGGUUAGUGGCGGCAAGUGCAAGAUUAAGUGGGAGCAUGUCUGCAAG
rnacentral:rRNA from 1 species